CCCUUAGAUGUCCUGGGCCGCACGCGUGCUACACUGAUGCAUACAGCGAGUACUUUCCAGCUCCGCGAGGCAGCUGGUAAUCAGCAAUAUGCAUCGUGCUGGGGAUAGAUCUUUGGAAUUAUAGAUCUUGAACGAGGAAUUCCUAGUAAGCGCAAGUCAUUAGCUUGCGCUGAUUAAGUCCCUGCCCUUUGUACACACCGCCCGUCGCUCCUACCGAUUUCGAGUGAUUCGGUGAACCUUUUGGACAGCGUCUGUCCUCGUGUCAGAUGCUGAAAGUCAAGUAAACCAUAUCACUUAGAGGAAGGGGAAGUCGUAACA
rnacentral:rRNA from 1 species